rnacentral:tRNA from 1 species
GGGCCUGUAGCUCAGCCGGUUAGAGCGUUCCUCUGAUAAGGGAGAGGUCGUUGGUUCGAGUCCAACCAGGCCCACCU